CGCUGAUGGAACUCAUUAUCCCAAGAUGUCGUCUCAGCUGGAAAUAGAAACAGCUUCACAAAAGAUUUAGAUACAUCCAUGGAUGAUGGCUCCAUUCAUGGGUUAGAAGGGGAAGGAGGCUGUUUGAGGCCCGUCCCCCAGGGCAGGCAUCAGGGAGGUGGCCCGGUCUCCCUAAGACCCCCCUUUGCACUCCUGUUAGAGGCAGGCUUCUGGCAACAUGGACCCCAAGAGGCAACGUGGAGUCCCGAUUCCCAACUCCCUGCUAAUGGAAUCCAGAGCUCUAGCUGAGCCCUCCAGUGUGGGAAGACGAUGUGAGGCACCUGGCCCAUCUGCACAUUGCCAGUUCACGUAAGGGGUCGGUGGUGGGCAGGAAACCCAGGUCUCCCUGUGCUCCAGGCCAGGACUCUCCAGGCACUGGAGGACUCUCUUUAUGCCCCAAGCAACAUCUGAGUGACCUGAAGAGACCAGCUGUGCCAGGCUAGAUGCCUCAUAGCCAGGGGCACUCAACCAAGUCCUGCUGUUGCUGAAGUCUGUUCCCAGCACCCGGACUCCUCUUUUCAAGAUGUGCCUCUGGCCCUCUUCCCCAGGCUGGCACCUGCAUGGUGGAGUUAAAAGAGCAUGUUGCUGAAGUUGGAUAGCACUGGGUUCCAGUCCUGGUUCUACCACUGCCAGGCUUGUGUGACCUCAGACAAGUGACUCUGUCUUAUGAAGCCUCAGGUUCCUCAUGUAUAAGUAGGGAAAUGAUAGCUCCUGUCUCGGAGUUACUGUAAAGAUGAAAUAAACUAGGCCGGGUGUGGUGGC
rnacentral:lncRNA from 10 species